UAAUCAAUGGAAAACCUUUGGGCUUGUGAACAGGGCAGUGAUAAGAACUAUGCUUUAAAAGAUUACUCCAGCAGUGUACAAGAUGAACCAGAGAAGAAAAAUCAAAAGAAGAUGGGGAAGCAAGUGAGGAGAGUAUCACAACCAUAAAGGAAGAGACUGGGGCGUAUUAUCAUGAGAAUGGGUGUGAUACCUAACAGAAGAGCAUUCCUUCAGUUCCUGUGCCCAUGAGAAUAAGAGACUGGAAGAGCGUCUUGUCCAAAGCCAAAAUGACGUUGACUUUCUAGAGCUCUAGGAAGUCCCUUUGGUUUGGCAUCUCAUUCCGGAGAACAGGGGCUCACCUCCUCAAAUCGUGCCCGGAUAAUGGUGAUCCAGUGUUUGAUGGUGGUGACGCAAUCUGGGUGGCACACUGACAGGAUGACUUCUCCCAUCGCCACGGCUGCAUUCACAUCCACUCGCUUUUCCUCUACCUUCUUCAUGAAUUCCUAAACACAAAUUUCAAAACAUGAAUUAGGGAAAUGUCUUCUCUUGA